rnacentral:lncRNA from 1 species
GUCAACAAAUUAAGCAAACUAAAGAUCUUUUAGAGUCAAAUAGACAUAACAUUAAUAUAUGAAUGUUCAUACAUCCAAAAGUUACCCCACCUCCUAAUUUUUUAAUGAUAGAGUUCAAGAGAAUUAGAACUUAGAAUACAAAAAAAAUCAUAUCUACUCUUCAUAACAAUGGGAAAAAAUAGCCAGACAAGAUUCAAGGAUAUCGUGGCUGCCCAAUGUAGCUGAACCUAAUAUCUCGAAUCAGGGAGUGAUCCAAACUCAUUGAGUGAACUAAAAGAACUUAUUGACUCAGAUAGACAUUUCAUUUAUGUAGCCACAGAGUGAUUUUUACUACUAAAAAUAUUUUGAAAUCAAUCGUGUAAAAUAAAGCAUCAAAAGGGAAUGCCAAACCUGUAAACACGGACCAUACAAAAUUUAUGCACAACAGCCCAACAACCCCAAAACAGAAAAAGAUCACAGCCCAAACAUAAGAAAUUAUUUCAAGCUACAAGGCUGAACUCCACCACAAAUCCACAAAAGACUCAACUGAAUUCGAAUAUGAUUCAUUUAUCCCGAAAUAGGAGGCUCAAGAAUAAUGAACUAAUAUGCUCAGAACAUUAUAUCAAUGUUCCAUUUACUUAUCAGAUACACUUACAUGAGUUAAUACCCAAUUACUCAAAACUAAAAGUCAUACAACAUACCAUAUGUUUUACCAGUUCAUA